rnacentral:snRNA from 1 species
AUUGCUUCUCAGCCUUUUGGCUAAGAUCAAGUGUAGUAUAUUAGAGUUCAAUUUUUGAAAAAAAUCAAUGUGGUAAUAUUCUGAAAGAUGUAGAAACAGAUUCUAUAGAUCUGCUUUAUGUAACAAUCUCA